rnacentral:rRNA from 1 species
AACGAACGCUGGCGGUAUGCCUAACACAUGCAAGUCGAACGAGACCUCCGGGACUGGUGGCGCACGGGUGCGUAACGCGUGGGAAGCGGCCCUUAUGCUCGGAAUAAUUCCCCGAAAGGGGUGCUAAUACCGGAUAAUGUCUUCUGAUCAAAGAUUCAUCGCCUUUGGAUGGGCCGGCGUUGGUUUAGCUAGUUGCUAGUGUAAAAGCCUCCCACGGCGACGAUCCCUAGCUGGUCAGAGAGGAUGGUCCGCCACACUUGGACUGUGACACGGUCGAGAAUCCUGCAGGAGGCAGGAGAGGGGAAUCCUGGAAAACCGGCGGAAGGCUGAACCAGUACUGCCUCGUAAGUGAUGUAGGCGUUAGAGUUGAAAAGCUGUUUUACACGGGACGAUACUGACGGUACCGAAAGAAUAAGCACCGGCUAACUCCGUG